GAAAGGCAAAACGCUAGGGAGUCUAUUUCCAGACGGAAUGAAAAUGGAACGCCUGGCCAUAUGGAGCGCUGAUACUUGUCUGAUGGAACUAUAAAAUACGUAGCCAGCACGGCAGAUCGUCGUUGCGAAAUACGUUGGACAUAGUUAAGUACUGAAUUCGAAAUGUUUCCAGAUAGUCGCCACCCCCGUUCGUCGGGUAUCGACACGAGUAUACAAAUAUAUUAUUUACUUUUAAUCUCAUCGUGAAGCUACAGAGAAUCAAACAAUGAAAAUGACUAAUUAAUUCUUUUUGAGGUUAAUAAUAGGAUCGUGAUCGUGACAGUCAUAGGUACCAGAGGUAUUACAACUGGUAUGAUGCCAACUGUUAAUCGUCACGAUAUUGCAGCACGUUCGUAUCUCGGACUUGUGUCCUUUCACUGGGGCCAGGUGCGACGAAUUACGCGAUUUUCUAACCGGGAACACUUCAGCCUUAUAGUCGGAGUGUUGACCGACAUUCUGAACAAGACGUGCAACGGAACUUUCGUAACUCCACUUGAACUUCUUUGUUGUUCACCCAUCAGAGCCUCAAGGAAUACUGUCAUUUAUUAACAAGGAUACACCUAUAAGAGUGAUUAAAACGAAUAUUCUCCAAGGAGAGAAUUCCUGAAAAUAUUUGAUCAUCCUCAUUAACCCUAAUGAAGUACAAGGCCUGGGGCUAUAAAAACUACCAUGAAUUACGAAUAGAACCAAUAGCAAUAAUAAAUUCGCUGAUGGGAAUUUUUUACAUACAAAUUCUUCUGUAGCAAGAUAUACAUUCAGAGAUUGCUGCUAUCAUUUCCGGUAAAACCAGAACGUAUGACGCUCACCUGGCUGGCCUUAUAAUCCGAUUAAAUCUUGUAUAAUAACAACAGUACACGACGUUCUCAUUCGUCCACUCGCUCGCUAGCGCGGAUUGAGUUUCACGGUACAGAGCAAUUACAAAAUGUAACCCAAGGCGUAAAGGAAAGUAGAAAAGAAACCGAAGAGUCGCACAAUGAGAGUCAUACUCGUAUCUGUUGAGUGACUCCAGAUGAUUCACGGUUAAAGGAAGCUGCCGGCAAGAAGCCAAUCGUUAAUUAACGAUAUGAGAAAAAGUAAACGACAACGAAAUUCAAUCACGUAAUUGAGCCCAGUGAAGGAAGUGAGAAAAAUCAGUCUCCAGCAUCGAUUAAAAACAAUUCAGAGAAGAAACCAACGAUCGUCCAUACCGGACAGCUACAUAAGUUUACUGUCGACUUUAUCGCAUUCAAAAGGAUCCAGCGCAACGUUGCGUCAGCCUUUGAGAAAUCGCAAUGCCUAUAGGGCAUAUUAGUAUUUAGAAAGGACCUACAAAUGACGUACCUUAUAAAAGCACCGUUACGACGCGUGUACUAUAGCAUCCAACAGUAUUGCUAUGGCAGUGGAAAAAUUUAAUUCCAAUCCCUGCGUGCUGGUAGCACGUGUUCCUGUAACUAGCGAAUGAUAUACAUGACCAAGAAAAGUGGUCGUUGUCUUCGAGAUAAGGAUAAACUUCUUUGUUCCGCUAAGCAACAGUCUGAAAAUCACGUCAAUUGAUAUACGCUACGAAAACGAAGUACAAAAUGGCACCAUUGAUUCGUCACUCGAACAAAGACGUCAGAGCGUGUUUUGCACGCAGCCAAAGUUCAUUAUGAACCUGCAAAGAUGACUGUGACGAUAUCAUAACUGGAACUGAUGGACAAGGUUAGAAUUUCGCAUUGAAAAACAUAUGCGAUACCAUACAGUCACUUCGGACAAACGAAGCUUUCAUGCUUUUAUUCAGAAUCAUAGGUCAAUAGGUCAACUGCUAUAUCUGUAUACUCGACACAUGGCCUCGUGUAAUUCAUCGAAUAUCGAACUCGUGCAACCCAUCGCAAUGCGUUUCCGUAUGCGUUCUACACGGCUACGUGGACGUUACGGUUACCCUGUUUAAUCGAAGUAGAUUAUAUAACCCGUGUCCCGACACGUGUGACUGAGUAUUAUCUGGUUAGCCUUGCGACCAUACGAACUGAUUUUGUUGCUAGCUGAGUAGAGUCAUUGAGGUGUAAAAGAUUUUUGUGUUAAAUGGUGGCACUAAUAAAUUUUGUCAAUUACUAGAAAAAUACAAGCAAACUUGGACUCUAUGUUGAAAUCAGCUUCGCUAAAAACAUAUCCGGUUUGUUAGCUGUCAAGUCGACGCGAACCUCUCGACGCUGAUACGUUUACACUGUUACGGGUUGGUACUAGCGAUAUUCGCGCCCUCUAUCGUUCGACGGGUGCGAAUUUUAAACGAGAAUCCGGGACAUCUGAAAAAAUCGGAAAUCUUUUACCAGCCUAUCGAGUGUCCUACUUUCGUGAACUUACUAGCGAUUCGGGUAAAACUGGGUCGACUAGCCAAAGUAACGAAGGGGUUGCAGCCCUGCGGGCGAAUCUAUCCCCGGUUUGGUGCACUUGGAUACAAGUGGACCGUUCCAGCUACGUGGGUGAAACUUUAAGAAAGAAUAUUCAGAGUAAAAUAAUGUCUGACUAGGAUCGGUUGAAAAAAAUUAAUCAUUCCAAUAAUGGUUAUGUACGGCAUUACAUUGUUGGAAUAUAUACUUAGGAUUUUUUAGGUUAAAACCUCAAAGACCAGAGACGGUUAAUCAGGAGGAAAUGACGGUUAUUGAAAAUUGACUACAGUCGUUCAGGAAGUGAACGUAGGCAAGUUAAUUUUCAUGGUGGUGGUUGGCUCGAACUGUAUGUUGAUCCGCCGCAGUAAACUUGCACGUGCACGUGUAUCGCCAUAGCAACGUAAUUAGAAUAAGGGAAAACCGUACCCGAGCGAAGGAGGAGCGAGAGCCCGUCAAAACAACCAGAAAGGUCAUAACGCUAGAUAGAACAGUGCUAUCCAAUUCCGAGAAACGACUUACAGCCAGAGUGUACAUAAUUGCAACUAGAUAGAUCCCCACUAAACAGUAUAAGAAGACCACGAAAUAUAGAUUCUACAGAUACUGUAGUUAUACCGUUUCUUAACGAGCUUCUGACAUUCGUCGUAACGACGUCUUGUACACGAGAAGACCAAAAAAGGCUGAGUUAUCUGAAACAGUAGAAAAAAAUAGUAUCCAGCCGAGUAGUUGUAUAACUGAAACGAUGACCCAAAAAAAUAAUAUGCAGUGUGUUCGUAAAGAAGAGCAGCCCCAAAACUAAGGAUACGAAAUUCUUAAAUAUACAACUAUGGGACAAAGGAUUUAUUCAAAAUCUCCAACCGCGACGUGCAGCAGGAUUGAGUGGUCGGCUAUCUUGUGACAUGAAAGAGGAAACUAAUUACAGGAUAGGUUAUACACGUAAACACAGAUGCGAAUUCUAACGGGUGAGUGUUUUAUUCCAUGCCAAACAAAAGAUUGCACGAUGGAUUCAGGACAAAAGUUUAGCACGGUAUGGAAGCAGUAUUUGAACAGCAAUGGCGGCGGCAGUCCGCUACAGGGAAACGUAAACGUCAAAGGGGUAACGAGGACGGUAGGUGGGAAGUGGACGUAGAUCUAGGUUACCUGCAUAUUAUGCAACCAAUACCAGGACAAUUUAUCAGACGCAUACAAGCACGUAUUGUGCUAGACCUCAAAGACACGCGAAUACACUAUAUAUAUGGCGAUCUAUUGCUAUUGAAUAUACAGGUAUAUAUUUAUAUGUAUUACCACAUGGAACUGCUUGCUUAUACUCCAUAAUAAAUUGCAUCAUUAAACUUUCUUCAAAAUUGUAGGUAAUUCUUUGUUAAUAAAUAUAAAUAUCCCUAGAAUCAAAAUAUACUAGCAAACGAAAUAUUACAGAGUAUGAAAAUGACAGAGUAAAAUACAGUGUGAACUGAAUUGAAAAUGAUUUUACUUAAAAAAUUGUAUAUCGAAUUUCAUACCUAAAGCUCUGUUUGUACUUUGCGGACAUCGAUCAAUGUCCAACUAUCAUGGACAUGUGCGUGUAAAACUGUUUGAAUACUGUUGAGGCAUAAUUUCGUAAUCGUAUUUAAAAGUUCAACGUUCAUUAAUACUUCACUAUCCGUUUCACUGGUUUUGUACUAUCUUAACAAUUCCGAAAAUAUUUUAUGAUUAAUAGUUGCUAUUCAAUUAUUCCAUAUGGGCAGGACUGAGCAAUGGGGUCAGAAAGUGAUAAAAAAAAAUGUUUAACAUUCCUUUCACUGAAUUUGAGCUUUGAAAGUGUAUUGGUUGAGGGGUUUUUCUUGGUAUAAUAAAAAUGUGGGUCAGCUGGAUUCAAGAUCGAAAUCAAGUCUUUUUCUCGGGAAUCUCGCUUUAAAAUAGAAACAUUUUUAUUUUCUGACUUGUCGAAUUCUCAUAGGAGCAGCCAUAUACGUCUAGCUCCACUUUUGUAUGAUUUUUCUUGAAGUUUAAACAUUUCUUUUUUUUAAUUUAUACGGAGCACACCCCCAUUUCUUGUCACGUGUAAAAAUUGGAUUAAUUAAAAUUCUGACGAAUUUUUUUUCUUAUGGGGAUAAAGUAAAAUAACCAUUUUAAAGAUUUUUCUUGCUUCUGACGUCAUCAAUCUUUCUACGUCAACGCACAAGGUUACCCCUAACAGUAGCCUUGACGACGGAAAUGGUUCCGCCUUUUCGAAAACAGCUGUCUGAUCAUUUCGAUACAAGUCAUACCCAAAGUCAGGUACGGAGUUAUACACAGGAAUACAGUAUAUCAUAGGCUUGCGAAUUUAAACGAUGGCUUUAAGCCGAUGAAAACAAGCCAAAGAAUACUUCGUAGAAACGUCAGGACGUUGAACCAAUCGUCUUCAGAUACGUUCCAAAAAACCAUUCAAGGUCUACAAGCCGUUCGAUCGUGAUAUUCGACGGUAUGAAAUUGUAUUUAACGUCCAGAUAGAAUACGUAAAAACUUGGUUAAAAUCGCGUGUAGAAAAAUAACCAAAAAUCACAACAUUGCUUUUCCACCUGAACAACAGUGAAAUCAUGAUACGUUUACAUAAGAGUGAUUAGGCGUGAAAAAGAAGAAAAAGAAAUUGGCAGGGAAAAGCAGAGGGAGAAAUCAUCACCAUAGAUUUAUCACUCGCCCGAUUGUUUCCCAGGAAAUUGGAUGCGUGUCCUCGGUGAAAGUGAAUUUUACGCAACGCGUACUUCACGCCGCGCAACGUUAUUCAAACUCAUCGAAUUCCAAGCAAAACUUGGCUACUUAAAAAAUCCACCCUUAGAAAAAAAAAUCCCUAUGAAAAAAAAAGUAUAUUCAAAAUCAAUCUUGUAAUUCCAGGAUAUAUAAAACGUGAAAUUACCAAGCCAUAAAAAUCUUAUAUAGACAGCAAUUAAAGAUGCGUCGAUAACGAAGACUUUUAUCGACGGAAGGUAAAACAGCAUCGCAUUACGAAAACACAAGGCAUUCUUAAUCGGUCGACAGAGUCUUGAUAAUGCGGAAGAAGCCAACGUACGAGCUGACGAGUUUAAAGCUGUGACCUUGUCUUGAAACGUCACCUGCAUUAUAUACUAUAACCCUAUAGUGUGCUAGAGUAUAGCUGGUAUAAAAAGAUACUGACAAUUAAACAUUCUACUGUAUAUGAACUAUAUACCCGCCGCACUGGUAGAUACGACGGGUACAUGAGAUUCAUAAGAGACAGUAUCGUCUUGUCGUAUAUGAGAUAACACGGGCACAAUCUAUUCUCGAAUUACGUAAGGUGGAACAACGUUAUACAGAAGUGACAGUUGUUCAGGGCGAACGAAUUAAUUAUGAAAGUGACUAAGGGUAAGAGAAAAAUAUAAUAAUUGGAUAACGUCGGCAUAUGACAUUCGUUAAGAGACUCACAUGGCCCAGUACAGUAGACCCGCGAGUAUAGAAUGGAUAAUUAAUAUUUUGAUAUCCCGAAGCGGCUUAAAAAUUUUCAAUUAUAAACCUCCAACAAUGCAGAUAACGACUUGGCGACGUUCUCCGUGCGCACGUCUAUUUUUGUCAGCCGGUUAGAUUUUAUUACGAAGGCCGUCGGACGCCGAUGCGACUCCUGCCGGGGUGUCUGCAAGUCCAAAUUGCAAAAGAUGUCAAAGGUUCAGAGAGAAUGACUUAUACAAUUGUCAAUUAAAUCCUUAGGGCGUAUUGUGACGCAGAAGCGAAAAGGUCAAGUGCACGAUAAUAACACGAGAAGAUAGAUGUAGCACGGUUAAAAGAAAAAAAUUCCUACUAAAAAUUCACCAGGAAUAAAUCUAAGGAAUGAUUCGACACUUUUUAAAAUUCUCUUGUUGUCACGUUAAUACUGUGUGUGCUUUACAUUUAAAUAUUCUUUAACUCUAUAAAGGAUAACCUUUUCUUUUAAUCUACGUUAAAAAUUAAAUGGGCUUGGAACUCAAAUUUACGUAGGUUAUACUUCCAGGGUUGAACUAACCUCACAUUUAAUUAAAUCUUACUCGUGACACGCUCGCUUUAUUGUCAAUGCAAAAUGGACGCCGUCAGCCGUUACGGUUAAUUCGGUCAUAGAUAAAAUUAGGAUGAUUCACUCUGGAGGUAGGUUAAUACGAAUAGGUAUCCUUUUCUCGAUCGGGUAUAUGUAUAUAUGUAUAUACGCUGUGUCUUUAUAAGCUGUUACACUCCACUUACGUUCGAAGGCAGGAAUUACGCGAUCUGAUGCAAUGUUACUUACUACAACGUGAUGUUCACUGGAAUUGCGAUGAUGCAAGGUUACAAAUUAUUCUGGUAAAAAUCCCUGGCGACUAUGUUACCCGGCAGAUCUUUUCGAGCGUUUACUUGAAAAUUAUCAGAAACAGUCGUUACGUCGUUAAGUAACGCAGGAAGACGGAGCCUGGAAGAUCCAACUAGAAGCAUUGAUAAUCCGAAAAUAGAAUCUAAUCGCCAUGGUGCAAAUACUAGAUUUACAGCACGAUGUUAACACGUGAAGCCACAUGUUAUAAACGAACGAGCAUCGUACUGAGUAAUCUGGCUGAACUAGAUUCAGUUCAACUAAAAUCUAAUUAGGUGAUAAAGAAAUGACUUGUAGGAAAACCUAACUCAACAAAACUUGACAAAAAUUCAUUUAUCUAUAAUGUAAGCAGGUUACGUACUUAUGAAAGGGUACUGAUAGAAGUGCACUGAAGCAUAGCGCAAGUAAAACAUAACCUCUCUCGGUAGAAAAUCAUUUCCCUAGUACUAAUAUACGAAGGGAAGAAUAUGUGAGUUAAAUACAUUUUGAGUACAAGAUACCUUUUACAAAUCUAAAAGCAACAAAUUUCUGCUUGUAGUUUGUACACGCAACAUGUACAUAUAUCUCCUGAAGAAUAUUGAAAGAUAUGUAUAUUCUUAUAUAUACAUGUUUAUUGAUAAUGUAGGUCAACCCGUUUACACGACUGUACAGCACUUCAAGUAGUCUCUGCAAGUUUAUCUGCCCUAACAUAUUUCAAGCGAUUUAAAACUAUGCACAACACACGAAAUUGCAAGCUGCAUCCUUAAGCUUCGACGCUUUUACUCUUGGACGAUCGAGUAAAGAAUUGCUUUGAAGCAACGUGUGGAAGUGUAUUGCACAAGCUUGUGCAAAGCUUACGUAGUAUAGUGAACGUCUACAUUGGCGUGAAUAAACGUGACAAAGCAGGAGUUUAUGAAUUCGUGGACACGACGCACCGAUGAAACCUGUCUUGACAAGAGGGACACAGAACAUAACUGGAAUUAUCUAUCCUGAAGCUUCUGUACAUAGAUACAGUCAUAUUUUCGUAAAGUCCAAAAAAGAGUUGAUAUUAGAGGCAACACGAGUUUUCUCUGGUAUAAACUCAAAACUGAUGCGAGUUGUUAAAAAGCAGUUAAAAUAAUAUAUAUAUGUGCUAUAUGCCCAUACCUAGACACCACAUGUGGCAUGAAAGCGUAGGAGUUCAUUCGUCGAUAUUUUUACAGUAAAACCUCAUACGAGUGAGCGAUAAUUAUUGUCUAUUGAUGAAAAUAUAUAAGAUACAUGACUCCAUUUUUUCAAGCACGUCUUGAUAAUUCUUGUCAAAAAUUAACUUUUCUUUUCACAUGAUAGACGCGUGUUGUUAUCUAACAAAAAAUUAGAAGCAGUAUCAGGAACAGAAAUCAUUGUGAGAUAUGCAUAACCGAGUUACGUUAUUAAAGUGACUGUUGAAGGACGUAAAAAAAUAUAAACGGUAACAAUUCAAAAUCUGUACGUGGACAUGAUUUCGUUUGUUAUUAAAAAAAAAUAAUUCCAUCUAAACUCUCGUAGGGAUACUAGCAAUAUGGCGUAAGAAAAACAUGUAACGUUGUACAGUGACGGUUUAUUAGUUUAAUUACAGGAAUAAAUAGCAUCGAAAUCAACUGUAUAU